rnacentral:sRNA from 1 species
UGUUGGUUACCAAGGAUGCCUUCUGUGAUAAAAACAAGAAAGUCCACAGGAUUUCAAUUUGCUUCAGGUUUCAGGAAGAAUCUACGUGGAGAACAAGAGCCAAAGUUGGAGAAAACCUCAAACCACAGCCACUUACUUGUCCACCUGAACUGAUGGCUCAGGGCACAGAGGAGUGGACCAGCUAGUUCAUGGAGGAGUUGAGGUCUUGGCACUGCUGUGUGAUUAGAGUCCAUUCCUGGGUGUGGGGAUGCACUGGUACUUGAACACAGGUCCACAAAGGCUUUUCAUUCAGCAGGAGCACAGGCUCUCAGUUUUGGGGCUACAGUUAGCUGAGAGUGACACAGUUGAGUACUGCUGGAUUAGUCCAUCUAUCUGUGGCAUGGCUUCGGUGAGCUCUACCUUACAGGCUCGACCACAGAUUCCCAUAACUGCCUCUGUUGACGCUCCUCUGUGGCAGAUUCUCAUUUGCUCACUGUCAUUCCUGAGCUAGGAUCAGCCCCCCAAAUAAGCAAGCUAGCAAGAUUUUUACAGGGAUAAAUUCUGGUAAGUUAGGUAAAGUUAGGCAUUGGCAAAAAUGUGGAGAUCCCAGGAAUCUUCUGACUUCUACCAAAAAGCCUGAGCUAACUUUCCAACUCUUUUCCAAAGCAAAAGAGUCCCAUCCACUUCAGCGACUCCCCUGGAACAGGUGCACACAAAGGUCACUGGAUUCAGGGCAACAGACCAAGAGUUAGUUCAGCAUAAGAAAUCAGGCUCUGGAGAGCAAGAAACUCUGUGUGGAGUUGAAUAACUCCUCCUCAGAAGGGAGUUCUUGUCAGUCCAUUGUCACUUAAGCAUCAGCAGAAGGGACACAGAAUGGAGUUGAAGGGACCUCAGUGUUCACAAGUUACAAAGGAAGUAACAGAGAUACUUCAAAGAGGUCAACCAGCCCAGGAUCACAGGCAGACAAAAUAAACUAUAAUAGGAAGAAAUUUGCUGAA